UUGAAAGGGGCAGAUACUCAGCAGCUGAGCCUUGGGAGCGCCAUGAUUGUGAGGGGCGGACGGACCCGCUGAGCAGUUCGUCGGCGCCAUAAUCAUGAGGGGCAACGCACGUCUGCUAGCCUUUCGUCGGCGCCAUGAUCGUGCGUAGCAAACGCACUUCCGUUGUGCUGUGACGCCAUGAUUGUGAAGGGUAGAUGCCCUCACUCAAAAACGGUUAUGGGGACGGGAACCAGCAUCGAAGAGCCAACGCUGUGGGCACCGUGAUCCUAAGGGGCAGGCAAACUUCCGCUGAGUGGUCCGCGACGCCAUGAUUGUGAAGGUCAGGCAUACGUCUCCCCACCCCCAUCCCAUCCACCACUUCCGGAGGGGUUGCCCUGGAUCCGAAUAGACCGCCUUCAUCUGGAGCAAAAUCACAUGAGGAAGUUGGGGCUAGCUUCUCACCCAGCUUGACAAAGCUGUACGUUUCUGUAAAGGUGGACACCGGCUUCAACCCCAGAACUUAUGUUGUGUUUUCUCGGGUUACUAUGUAUACACACACACACACACACAUAUACAUACGUAUAUAUGUACACACAUACGUACUCGGGUUACUAUAUAUAUAAUAUAUAUAUAAUUUCCUAGCAACUACCGCAUACUGAACGCCUGCUGUGCCAGGCGCCCUGCGGGCAUCUCACGUGCCCCUCACCGCAAACCUGAGGUCACUACCACGGCCACCUGUUCGGGAGACACUGCAGGUGCACUGCUUGAAGCCAGGAAGUGCCCUUAGCGGGAGCGACUGCUGGUUAACCGACCUGAUGGGAGGACGUGCUCAAUCUCGAGGCGGCAUCUCAUCCCCCUUUUCUUUGCAAGAGCCUGGUCUGACAACACAUAAACCACUUUCCCAGGAAACAACGGAAUAAUAUACUCCGGGCCCUCUGACGGCACAUGGAGUUUCGCACCCCGGGUCCUGGUGUCUUCACCUGGGAAAUUAGUCUAGAACUCAUUCAAGAACUAGUUCAAGACUCAGGUGUGGGGAGAUUCUGAAAUGCCUGGCACGCGGUCAGCACGCCCCUGGCUGGAGCUGAGCUUGCAGGCAGGCAAAGGAGCCCGUUGCGCCUUCAGAGCUUUUCUCUCCGGGGUAACCUGCCGUCGCCUGCGCGUGCGGACCGGCGCGGGCUCGCGUUAACACGCCCGCUGGGGGCCGGGGCCGGGGGCGGCCAAGCUGGUGCAGCGCCCACAGCGCCAGGUGCACCGCUGCACCGCGCGCUUCCGGAGCGGGCUGUUAGCACCCACGGGGGCCAAGAAGCAAACCACCUCAAGAAAUUGAAGAAUUGGGAGUCACAGGGAAACUGGGCCAAUAAAGGAAGACAAGUGAAAAGGUAGUAUUUUAUUGUCCAGGAUAAUUUUGGUUAGACACGAUUUUUGCCCUCAGAGCUGAUGGAGAAUGGGACUCCACUACCCCAUAGUCCAGUUGGUUCGCUGUAUUCAGCAACGCCCCAGGUUUGUUUCUAGGUUGGGUUUAAAUAUUUACGUAAAUUCCAGUUAACAUACAGCAUGAUAUUAGUUGCAGGGGUACAGUGCAGUGAUUCUCCCUUAUUUUUAAUGAUUUUUAUGACAUUUACCUACGCCCGCUCCGGUUCCUCAGAGAUAAAGCAAUCCACCUCCCAUUUGCUUGCGUGUAACUGUUACUUUUCAUUGGGGUGAUUGUUCAUGGGCCGGUGAGGCCCCUGACAAAAAAGAUCUUCCUCUCCCAAACGGGUCCUUGUUUUCAGCUCAGAAUGAGUAAGAAAGAUUCCCAGUCAUACCCUCACGUCCACCUCUCCCCGCGCACGAAAUGAACCAGAGUUCAAGGGUGGCCACAGGGAAAGGGAGGGGCUCUUUCCACCCUGCCUUGCGGACUGGGCGGUGCAGCCUCUCCUCUGUGGGAGUAAAAACGAGGAGCACGCGCUGCGCUCAGCUGGGACGAGGGCGCAGGACCAAGAGCCGGAUCUCGAAGCCCUGCACCUGAGCAGCUUUGAUGGGAGCGGCAAGCUGAGCACCCCUCCCCUUUGGCCCCGCGCAGGCGGCCGGCUCCUAAAAAGCCAAGCCCCUUAGCGCCCCGGUGACCUUUUCACCGCCUGCAAAGUACAGUUUGUGCAAAACUCGGAUGCUGGACGAAGCACUGGUAUAGGUUACACCCUAAAUGGUGGGAUAUACCUUUCGUGGGGCUUUUAAUAAUUAAAAAAAAGAUCAUGUGACGGAUUGUUUUGGCCAGAUACUUUUCAGCAUCCAUCAACGGUCCUUCCAUUGGUAAAUAAAGAAGAUCAAACUACAUUUCUUUUAAGAUGAAAAGUUUAUUUUGCCUUCUGCCUAGAAGCAAAACUAGUGAAAAUUAAAGUAUAAAAAUAAAUACAAUUUACAUUAAUGGGCAUUCCACUCAAAGUAAAAGUAACAAAAAUAAUGUAUAUAAAUUAAAAAUCCAUCAAAAGCACAAAACAAUGUCUGGCACUUUUAUGAGGAAAAGCUGUGAACAUUAAAAUAUGUGUAAAACACACAGGCUUUUAUCUUUAAAAAAAACAACACUCAAGUUUGUCAACCUUAAUCUAAAGCUAGUUUUAACUUUCUCCAAAACAAACUAUUUUUUUUUAGCUAAUUUGCAUUAGUGCACACAAAAUUUGGAAGUAUCUGUCUUUCUGGAAAGACCCACAAUGAUAUGAGUAAGCUGUAUCCUGAGUUUUCAGAAUGAUAAAGCACAAUUUAUCAUAUUAAGAUAUUUUGCUAUACUUUAUAAAGAAUAUAUCAGUAACUCAGACAUUUUUGACCGCCUUCUGAUUUCCUGGCUCACUCACUCAACAAAUGAUACAUCGCAAUAAAGAAAAUCAAGUUUACACCCUGGGUAGAUUAUUACGGUCUACAGCUGGAUGUAAUAGCUAACUUUUAAAUAGGGCCGAAAACUGGAGAAAACAAUCUUUAUCUCCACCUUCUUCAAAGGAUAUUAAGAAUAUAUACAGUCUGCAUUUUCAAAAUACCAGUAUCAUUUUAAAAUUCAAGUUAGAAAGAGUAAAUGUACACAGUCCCGAUUUUAUGUGAGAAGCACAAAGCCCUUUUUGGAAAUGGUAUGAUAAAUUAACAGUGGCAUUCACUUUCAUAAAAUCAUGUUCCCUUGGUAACAUUUUUUGGUUUGUAUUUUAAAUGAAUAUGUCAGUGAUGAAAACCUUAAAUGACAGUGCCUCCUCAGUAAUGCGUAACUUCAGCUUGACAAUAUUCCUGUUCCAUCUGCAAAUCUGAACUUGUUAUAUAGCCCUUUAGUCUCUCCUAAAUCAAGCAAGCUACAAAGAGCAGACCAUGAAGAAAGACAAGACGCAGACCACCAAGAAAACAGAAGCGCAUGCAGUGUUACUCUAUUUUACAGAAAUGGAUGCACUGAUUCACUCCUAGGUGCUACUACAUUCCAGAAGAUUGUGCUAUCUCCCCUAAUUUUUUACCCUCCAUAGAAAGAUUUUAUGAUUUAGGAGAAGUGUUUCCAAGAGUACUGGGGUAACAUACAUUAAACCUAACAUAUCUGCACAAGACAACUAGCUGUUAAGAGGAAUGUAUUUUUGAUCAAAGCAGUGGCCCCCAACCACUUCUAUGGUAAAGUUGGGGUGGACCACAAUCAGCAGGCGAGUGUUUUCUCCUAUGUGGUUAUCCCGUAAAUCCAAGAAUAUGAAGACUGAGAGGUUAAUCAGUUUUUAAAGUUACAUAAACCAGGAGAAAAACAUCCUUCUGCAGUAAUUUCCCCUCAAAUACAACAGUAUCUAACUUAUCAAAUUUAGCAAUCAGUAUGCAGAGAUGAAUGAAAUUUGUAUUUGAGAACUUAAUUUGUAAUUUAUCACACCUUUUUGACAUUUUAUAGAAAUAAAUCCAAAUGCCCUUUAAGUUUACAAAAACGUUCUCUGCAGACAUCUGGCUACAGAAAACAAACUUAGGUUUGUACAGGUUAAGCAAAGAGAUGGUCAAUUACUAAAUACUAAUGUGCCUUCACCCAAACCUAACAUUAAGAGGAAAAUGACGGUGUAGGGAAGGAAUUAACCAGACUGAUCAAGUUGCCCAGAUAAUUGCUCAGCCCUUUGAUGUCACUUUGCCUGUGUAAACAGUCCAGGCUUAAAUGAAAAGUCCUGGGCAGGGAAAACCGUAUGCAUGAAACCUCCCAUCCACCCCUUGGUUAUCCUAACGAAUGUUGUCUUCUUAAAUUGUCGCAACAUUUGGCCGCUUUCUUUGGGUUUUUCCUGCAUAUGCUCCUAAAAAAAGAGCAAAACUAAUAUUAUUUCUCAAUGUCAGUUUUUUUAUAAUACCGUUUAAUGAGUGUUUACUAUAUAAUGCCAAGCACUGAGCUAGGCAAUGUACAUUAUUAUAUUUAAUCCUUACAUAACAUAAUCCCAAGGUAGAAACUUACUACCAUUUUAAGAAUACAGCCGAGACAUGGGAGAGGAAGUCACUUGCCUAAGUAACAGAUACUCUGAGAACCCAGUUACACCUGAUUUGCUGUUUGACCCAAUAACCACUGUGCCAUACUGCUUCCGACUCUGCUUUAAUUAGUGGUUUCUGAAUUUCACUAUAAACUCCUGAGUCAAGCACCAGACAUCAAAUGAGCCAAACAGGUCUUAAAACAUACGAUCAGUGAUUGCAAUUGAGUUUGUAAGAACUAUAAACUUUAAGUGCUCUGCAGCAAGCUGUAAGCCCUUGGCAUUCUACUCCAAUCUUAGGGUAUGAAAGUCUGUCAUCACAAAAAAAACUAGCUUUCUAUCAAUUGCUUAAUAAACAUUCAUUCUCCAUGUGGAUCAAACUAAAGCAUAAGUUUCAAGUUUGUUUGUAACACAAUCCAAGCCACUAAGAAUCUAAGCAGGAAAGAAAAAUCUUUUCAACUGCAACUAUGGGUCCCUGGGUUGAGAUUCAUACUUAGAAUCUUAAUCAGUCAUACCAUAAUUUUUCAAUUUACAUACAAUGAUAAAAUCGUUAGUCUUUUUCAAUUGUCUAGGCACUCAGGUAUAAAUAAAUCUUUAGAAAAAUAGGAAAGAAAUUUUGUACUUGUUUGGAUACAUAGUAAUUGUACAUGUUCAUUUAAGAGUGAAGUUCAUUUGUAUUUAUAAUUAUGUUGCAAUGCAAUUAAACCGCAAUAGUUCUAAACAUCGAACUUGAGGACAUGACUAACUGCACUACUCCGUUCCUAAUGUGACUUCCUAUUCAUCCUUCAUACUGUUGAGUAUUACUUGGCUCUUUUUCUUACAAAUUCACAAGGGACAAACAGUGGAGAUGAAAUGCAUGAGACAAGAACAUGGAGAGUAGUCACUGUGGCAAUAAAUAAUAUCACGCAAAACAGUACUAACUCCUCAAUCAACUGCCAGCUGGCCAGAAUUUAUCACAAUAUGUGACUCUAAUAUGGGAAAAAAUUGAAAAUGUCUUGAAAUCCCACAUAAGUUCACAAGCUGCAGAUCUGGUGUUUGCUUGGACUUCUCCUAGUUACCUUUCAAUCCAGUUGAUUCUGACCACCUCUGGAGGAAGCAGAAUCCUCAACUACAUAACCCCCUUUAAAACACCUCCAUUGACUGUCACUCACAGUGGCUUCCAAAAGAUGACCUUUUACAUUAUCCUCUACAAGUGCAACAUUAUAAAUUAAAUUCACUACAUACAUGCAAAAAGUCAGCAAUCAUUUCAAAGCUAUGUUCAGUAUCUUGUUCCCUCUUUGAACUUAUGUAAACAAAUGGCAAUAACAAAAAAAUUUCUUAUGUUGUUCAUUCCCUCCUAAUUUGGAGGAAAUCAGUUAGUAAUAAAAGCUCUAAAUAUGCCUAACUGUAUAUUAAUGGGAAGAUUAGAAUUGAUUAAAUAACUCAUUGCCUAGUAAUUAAUUGUAUAUUAAUGGGAAGAUUAAAAUGAUUAACUCAUUGCCUAGUGAUUAAUUUUUGGUUUCUUUUAAAUGUUUAGAAAGAAGUGUAGUUAAAGCAAAGCAUUUUGAAAGUAUGUUUAAUGGAUCACAUAAUUUUUGGUGAGCUUAUCAAAGUAUCUUAACAAAGACACCUACCAAAUAUUAAAACAUUAGCUUAAAAGUUUGGCAUGAGUUUCAUAUUAAAUUUGUCUUCUUGCCACCAUAGACAGAAUUUAAAAUCCACAAAAUAACAGAAACAAAACUUACCCCCUCCCGCCUGGCAUAUUCACAUGUGAUCUUGUGGCCAGAGGGAGAAAUUUUUCAUCACUUUAUGUGCAGAUACAAAUAUUCCUGGGUGAUACACUGCCCCAAAGCUCAACAAACAUGCACAGAUUUAGGCAUCAGAUUAUUAUACUUUACUCAUUUAUAAAAAGGUUUUCUCAAUUAGGUACAUACAAUUCUACAGAUUUUUCAGAUUAAAAAAAUGUAUAGCGUUUCCACGGGAUUAUUACAGAAGCCAAGAUUGGACACACAGUUUUACCAAGGUCUCCUGACCGCCACAAAAUACUAACACGGUGGUCAUUAGCAGGAAUGACUGUGAAUAUGCCCAAAUUAUGGUGGCAAGGAAAGACAAGACAUUGCACUCGUAUGGCCUGCAUCGUGGGGCAGCUCGUGCACGUCCUUCUAUUGAAUGGGCUUGAAGAACUCAUUUGCUACACACCUGAAACAGGCGCUCUGUUAGGCACUCUGCUCUGUGAAGACUUCUGUCUAUUUUGCACAACCCCCUUCACUGAUGUCUUAGGGGUUCUAAUUGAAUAUAAAAGAAUUAAUAAGUCACUUGCAUCAAGAUCUAAAUGUUCAACAUUCAAAGAAAGCAACCAUACUGCAACAGUUCAAAGUGCAAAUAUGCUUGGAAAGAACUUAAGUCUCACGAAUGCGCACAGCAAGGAAGCUACGCUUUCCUUCAUCAGGAGACUAGAACCAAGGCUUAUACUUUGUUGGAAGGAUCACUUUGGUGAUGCUGAACUUACUAUAUGGAUGCUUACAAUACUUAAUGAGCAAAAUGGUAUGAAAUGAAAAGUAAAAGCAUGCCAACAUAAGAUGGUAAUUAAGAUAUAAUACACAACAGUACACCAAAGGAUUAUCUUGGAGCACAAAACUUAAAAGAUCUUCGCAAUGCUAUAAAACAAAUCACACUUGUAAAAUAGAUAUCCUUUAUGUAAAGAUACUAAAUUAUUUUUCCCUCUCAAAGCUAAUCUUGCUUUAGAUGUUUUUAAAUACCCAGGGGUGGCAUUCUUACCCUUGUCUACUAAGUAGCCUAUGAACUGGUGCAUUCUGUCCUUGGUUUGGCUGAAGGACUCUGUUAACAAAGUAAGUAAAAAAUUAAUUCAGAAGAGACUGACAUAAAUUCAGUUAUCCCCGCCCCCCCCCCCCCAUUUUUUAAAUAGGUGAAAGAUGAUUAACAGUGAGGUGACACUGGUCAUCUAUGCAGAUAUACCAAUGUAAUACCACGGAGCAAAUCACAAUGACUAAAGCAUAUUAAUAGGGUACUUAUAUUUUUUUCACCAAGAGCCCAAAUCUUAGGUUUUUGUCUGGAUGUCUCAAGUGUUUAAUUCUUGUGUGUUAGUUUAUUUAUACACUUCAUAAAAACCAACUUUUCCUUUCAAACAUCCAAGGGAAGUAACAUCACUCUUGUAAAAGUAGAAAACAGGUCUGAAAUAUUAAGCUAGAUUUCUAAGGUUUUUAAAUAAUUAUCCUAAAUAAGUCCUAGACUGUGAGCUGAACUCAGGACAUCGGGGGCUCAAAUUUCUACCAAAGACAGCAUGUCCUAUAGAAAGGUCCUGAGACAUGUGGUCUGUCAUAUAGCCAGCUACAUGACCUAGUGUUAAUAUGGAUCUUGGCCAUUCUUCAGUCCUCCAAUCAGCUGGGAGUGUUCUGCUGAUGUCAAGUUAGAAAUAACUCAACAAAGAGCAAGCUUGGCAUUUACAAAGAAAAUCUUUUUUUUAAAUAAAUAAAUAGCUUCUCACGGAGAUGAAGUAAUUUUUCUCACCUUGUUUCAGAAAGAUUUUGUUUAACCAGAAAUUUCUUAUUUGGCAUUCCCAUUUCAGCAGCUCUAACACAACAUAAAAAUAAGGACACACAAUGUAUUUAGAAAGGGAGAGAAAACCCUUACAGAUGUGAUACACGAUGACAGAAACAAAUCAUUUACAAGUUUUGUACUACUCAGCUGUACUAAGCACACCAGAGACUACUUUCCAGAAAGAAGCAGCUUGCAACGAUAGUCACUUUGCAUUAGGUUUCCCUCCCGUGAAGUCUUUCGCAUAUUAGAAAAAGACUACAGGGUUGCCUGGGUGGCUCAGUCAGUUAAGCAUCCGACUUGGGCUCAGGUCACGAUCUCACAAUUUGUGAGUUCAAGACCCGCAUCAGGCUCACUGCUGUCAGCAUGGAGCCUGCUUGGGAUCCUGCUUCAGAUCCUCUGUCCCCCUCUCUCUCUGCCCCUCCUCUGCUGGCACUAUCUCAAAAAUAAAUAUUAAAAAAAAAAAAAGAA